rnacentral:rRNA from 1 species
GUGAGGAAUAUUGGUCAAUGGGCGAAAGCCUGAACCAGCCAUGUCGCGUGAAGGAUGAAGGUCCUAUGGAUUGUAAACUUCUUUUGCAGGAGGGUAAAGUGAGCUACGUGUAGUUCAUUGCAAGUACCCUGCGAAUAAGCAUCGGCUAACUCCGUGCCAGCAGCCGCGGUAAUACGGAGGAUGCGAGCGUUAUCCGGAUUUAUUGGGUUUAAAGGGUGCGUAGGCGGACUAAUUAGUCAGCGGUGAAAUUUUGCGGCUCAAACGUAAAACUGCCGUUGGAACUGUUAGUCUUGAGUGCGGUAGAGGUAGGCGGAAUAUGUGGUGUAGCGGUGAAAUGCUUAGAUAUCACACAGAACACCGAUUGCGUAGGCAGCUUACUUGAGCGCAACUGACGCUGAGGCACGAAAGCGUGGGGAUCGAACAGGAUUAGAAACCCGAGUAGUCC